rnacentral:misc_RNA from 1 species
CUCAAAAGCGCUGGGCCACAGCUGAGAACGGACGUGUGCGCGUGUGUGUCUGUGACAAAUAUUUUCCCUAAAAUACAAAUUCUCCUAAUACAAUUGGAAAAUGUAAAGUAAAUAUAUUCCUAUGCUAUAACAAAUAAACACAAAUCAAAAACUUAAUCAAAGCUUAAGCAAACCCCUAACAAAACCUUGACAAGACGCGAGUGAAGUUAAUACUCUUUAGUUGCUAUUGCCCCACAAAAUGCUGCCAAACCACGCCUGAGCCUCAAUCUCAAUCUCAACCUGAACUAGGGCCAUAACCAGAACACAACUGUGAUCAUAGACAUAACAACGAUAGUGGUAUAGUGGUGCCGUACGAAAGCCAUUGGAGAAACCAGGAGAACCAGCGUCACAGCCAAAGAUGAGGGAAUCCGGGGACACAGCCAGCAGCCUGCCAGACCGCAACUGAGCGAUUUAUAGAUCCGCAGAUAAUACCCGGGACCGGAAAAUCCAAAUCAAUUUCCCCCGGCGAUAGCAAUCGGCAGAGGAAAAGGUGCAGGACAUCGGCCAACAGAGCAGCACAUUCGCCAAAAAGGAGGCUGUAAUGACGACAAUUGACGCGAUGUAGCGCAGACUUAUGGUCGGCGAACGCGACAGGGACCGUGAGGCGGUACGCUGGGCAACGGGUGAAUCGACACCGCUUCAAACCAAUAAUGGAGUAUUACAAAUGGUCGGGCAAUUGCAAUGUGGACAGGCUGCUGGCCAGCAACAGCAACAGCAACAAGCGACUCAGCAACAGCAACUCUCGAAGCAGCAGCAGCAGCAGCAGCAACAUCAGCAGCAGCAACUGCAACUCAAGCAGCAACAGCAACAGCAGCAGCAGCAGCAGCAACAGGACAUCCUGUAUCAGCAACAUAACGAGGCAAUUGCAAUUGCACGCGGACUGCAGGCUGCAACACCUGCCGACAUCGGCGAUAAUCAGCCGUACUACGAUACAAGCGGUAAUGUCGAUUGGGAGCGGGCGAUGGGAACCGGUGGAGCUGGUGCAUAUGGUGGCAUCGGCAUCGGAUCUCUACCAGCAGCUGGCGGUGCUGCUUAUCACCUUGGGCCAGCUAAUACCGCCGGCCUCGUUUCUCGUCACCUGGAUUACGCUGAUGGCGGCCACCUUGCUGGCCCAUCCGCCGGUCUUCCUGCUGGUGCUGUGGGAUCAGGAGCAGGAGCGGGUACGGGUGCGUCAGCGGGAGCAUCAGUCACGGGAUCAGGAGCAGGAGCAGGAUCGGGAGCAACAGGGACAGGGACAGGAACAGGAACUGGAGCCGGAUCUGGAUCGGGCGGUGGAGCAGCAGGCAAGGAAGUUCGCUACGCCCCAUUCCCAGUCGCAUCACCAACGCACUCGAUUCCCACAACUUCCCAGCAGAUCGUUGGCAGCGUCGGUGGCGGGGGCGUCGGUGGUGCCAGCAGCCAGUCGAUUUCAGGCGGUGUACCAACUCAUAGCCAGAGCAACACCACCGGCGCCCUGCAGCGGACACAUUCCAGAUCCAUGUCCUCCAUACCGCCGCCCGAGCCGUUCAUGAUAGCCCAGUCGAAGGCGGUCAACAGCCGCGUGUCCAUCAACGUGGGCGGGGUGAGGCACGAGGUACUGUGGAGGACGCUGGAGCGGCUGCCCCACACGCGACUCGGGCGGCUGAGGGAGUGCACCACCCACGAGGCCAUCGUGGAGCUGUGCGACGACUACUCGCUGGCGGACAACGAGUACUUCUUCGACCGACAUCCGAAGAGCUUCAGCUCCAUCCUGAACUUCUAUCGCACCGGCAAGCUGCACAUCGUCGACGAGAUGUGCGUGCUCGCGUUUAGUGAUGACCUGGAGUACUGGGGCGUCGACGAACUGUACCUGGAGUCCUGCUGCCAGCACAAGUACCACCAGCGCAAGGAGAACGUCCACGAGGAGAUGCGCAAGGAGGCCGAGUCCCUGCGGCAGCGCGACGAGGAGGAGUUCGGCGAAGGUAAAUGCGCCGAGUACCAGAAGUAUCUGUGGGAGCUCCUGGAGAAGCCCAACACCAGUUUCGCCGCCCGGGUUAUCGCAGUGAUAUCCAUACUAUUCAUAGUCCUGUCUACCAUAGCCCUGACGUUGAACACCCUACCACAACUACAACACAUUGACAACGGUACACCACAGGAUAAUCCGCAAUUGGCAAUGGUUGAGGCCGUGUGUAUCACGUGGUUCACUCUAGAGUACAUACUUAGGUUUAGCGCCUCGCCGGACAAGUGGAAGUUCUUUAAGGGCGGCCUUAACAUAAUCGAUCUAUUGGCAAUACUCCCAUACUUUGUUUCGUUAUUUCUAUUGGAAACGAAUAAGAAUGCAACGGACCAGUUCCAGGAUGUGCGUCGGGUGGUGCAGGUCUUUCGCAUCAUGCGCAUCCUGCGAAUCCUUAAGCUGGCCCGUCACUCAACGGGCCUGCAGUCGUUAGGCUUUACGCUGCGUAACUCGUAUAAGGAACUCGGUCUACUAAUGCUGUUCCUGGCCAUGGGCGUUCUCAUAUUUUCUUCGCUGGCAUAUUUUGCCGAAAAGGAUGAAAAGGAUACAAAAUUCGUUUCAAUACCGGAAACAUUUUGGUGGGCGGGUAUUACAAUGACAACUGUUGGCUACGGGGACAUCUAUCCCACAACUGCACUGGGAAAGGUUAUUGGUACUGUGUGUUGCAUAUGCGGUGUUCUGGUAAUCGCUUUGCCUAUUCCCAUCAUCGUUAACAAUUUUGCUGAAUUUUAUAAGAAUCAGAUGCGCCGCGAAAAGGCCCUCAAGCGUCGCGAGGCACUCGAUCGUGCCAAGCGCGAGGGCAGCAUUGUCUCCUUUCAUCAUAUCAAUCUGAAAGAUGCCUUCGCCAAGUCCAUGGAUCUCAUCGAUGUGAUUGUCGACACAGGCCACAAUCUCUCGCAAACGGACGGCAACAGCACCGAAGGCGAGUCCACCAGCGGACGCAAUCCGGCCACCACCGGAACCGGAUGCUAUAAGAAUUACGACCACGUAGCCAACCUGCGCAACUCCAACCUGCACAACCGACGCGGCUCCAGCUCUGAGCAGGAUGCAGUGCCGCCGUACAGCUUCGACAAUCCCAAUGCCCGCCAGACCUCGAUGAUGGCCAUGGAGAGCUAUCGCCGCGAGCAGCAGGCAUUGCUGCUGCAACAGCAACAGCAGCAGCAGCAACAGAUGUUGCAGAUGCAACAGAUUCAGCAAAAAGCGCCAAACGGAAAUGGAGGUGCGACCGGAGGAGGAGGAGUGGCCAACAACCUGGCCAUGGUGGCCGCAUCCAGUGCGGCAACAGCCGUGGCCACAGCCACCAAUGCCAGUAAUGCCAGUAACACCGCUCCCGGAACGGAGGGCGCCGAGGGAGGCGGCGAUGGAGAUGGGGGUGUGGUUGAUGACGACAACCUGUCCCAGGCGAAGGGACUGCCCAUCCAGAUGAUGAUCACGCCCGGGGAAGUGGCCGAGCUGCGUCGCCAGGUGGCCCUGGAGAACCUGCAGAACCAGCGGAUGGACAACCUGGAGCAGGACGUGCCCGUGGAAUUCGAGUGCUGUUUCUGCACGACCAAGGAUCGCAUUUGUGUGUUCCACGAUAAGGAGUAUAGCAUCAAGCGGCUGGCCCGACCGCCGCCCUCGCCCAAAAACUAUAUGGCCCUCAAGCGGAUGCUCGAGGAGGGCACUAUCGACAUAUACUAUCUAUGAGGCAUAUACCAUCUAUGAGGCAUAUACUAUCUAUAAGGCAUACUACUAUAUACUAUGGUAGCAACCCAGAUGGGUUUGCCGGGAUGCCAUGGCGAGUGUAUUCCAUUGCGCGCGAAUAGCGUUUAGCCAGAUUCUCAAGAAACCCCGACGAGAUUCGAUAUAGAAAUCGAGAAAUCGUGAAAUCGAGAAAUCGAGAAAUACUUAGAAUGCCGAGCGCAUCGAAUGCGUGACCGGCACUGCGAAUUGCGAUUAGACGUUAACUAGCUUUAAACUACCAACAAAACAAAUUACAACUAAAUGUUAUUAUUAUUGCUACGAUUAUACAAGUACUGUUAUACUGUUAUUAUUAUUAUCAACGGGCCUGGCGUGAUGUGACGUGAAAGCUAAACAAAGACAUAGCGAAUUCUAAGAAUUUAAUUAAAUUAACUAAAGCCUAAUCUACCAUCUAGAAACGCAACCAGGAGUGGAGAGCAAAACAAAGCAAAACAAAGCAGCAUGUGUUAUUAUUUAAUUUAAUUUAAUUAAUUUAAUUUUAACUCUGUACCAACCAAGUGACCGAAGCUUGAGGGCUUGACGAAAGUUUAAAUCGAUUCUUUUCAUUUACACACUAAGCACGUAAUUACAACUAGCCUAAUACCUAAAUAUUUAUAUCCUAGCAAAAUGGCCUAAGCCUUAAUUAUAGUAGCUGCAAUUUGCAAAACGCCAAAUACCAGAAACCAGAAAACCAGCAAAACAACGAAUAUACAUAACUAUGAAAACCAAAUAUACAAUUGUUUAGUUACUGGAACUAUCAAUGUUAUAGCUCUCUUGAUUAUUAGUCGUUUAUUUCCUGUUAUCACUCAUCCCAAAACAAAUUCAAAGAAAACCACAAACCGAAUGAACAAAUUAUGCAAAUAAAAAGAAUACAUAAACA